CAAUAGCGUAUAUUAAUGUUGUUGCAGUUAAAAAGCUCGUAGUUGGAUUUCUGGUGGGAGCGGCCGGUCCGCCGUAAGGUGUGUACUUGGUUGUCUCCUGUCAUCCUUGUGGGAACUGCUCUGGCAUUAGGUUGUCGGGGUUAGGGAACACAUCGUUUACUGUGAAAAAAUUAGAGUGUUUAAAGCAGGCUUAUGCCGUUGAAUACAUUAGCAUGGAAUAAUAAGAUAGGACUUUGGCGUCUAUUUUGUUGGUUUGCACACCAAGGUAAUGAUUAAUAGGGAUAGUUGGGGGUAUUCGUAUUUAAUUGUCAGAGGUGAAAUUCUUGGAUUUAUGAAAGACGAACUUCUGCGAAAGCAUUUACCAAAGAUGUUUUCAUUAA
rnacentral:rRNA from 1 species